CCUACGGGUGGCAGCAGUGGGGAAUUUUGGACAAUGGGGGCAACCCUGAUCCAGCCAUUCCGCGUGAGUGAAGAAGGCCUUCGGGUUGUAAAGCUCUUUCGGCAGGAACGAAAAGGCUCUCUCUAACAUAGGGGGUCAAUGACGGUACCUGAAGAAGAAGCACCGGCUAACUACGUGCCAGCAGCCGCGGUAAUACGUAGGGUGCGAGCGUUAAUCGGAAUUAGUGGGGGCGAAGUUGGCGCAGGCGGCUGAAAUCCCCGGGCGUAACCUGGGAACUGCGUGUGUGACUGCAAGGCUUGAGUGCGGCAGAGGGGGGUGGAAUUCCACGUGUAGCAGUGAAAUGCGUAGAGAUGUGGAGGAACACCGAUGGCGAAGGCAGCCCCCUGGGUCGACACUGACGCUCAUGCACGAAAGCGUGGGUAGCAAACAGGAUUAGAUACCCCGGUAGUC
rnacentral:rRNA from 1 species